UACGGAGGGUGCGAGCGUUGUCCGGAAUCACUGGGCGUAAAGCGCACGUAGGCGGCUUCUUAAGUCAGGGGUGAAAUCCUGGAGCUCAACUCCAGAACUGCCUUUGAUACUGAGGAGCUUGAGUCCGGGAGAGGUGAGUGGAACUGCGAGUGUAGAGGUGAAAUUCGUAGAUAUUCGGAAGAACACCAGUGGCGAAGGCGGCUCACUGGACUGGUAUUGACGCUGAGGUGCGAAAGCGUGGGGAGCAAACAGG
rnacentral:rRNA from 1 species